rnacentral:lncRNA from 1 species
GCUAAGUGAAGGGCAUUCAGGAAGCAGCAUUGAUCUUUGUCUUUUAGGUCAAAGAAGUGUGAUAAAAUAAAUUCCUGUAGUUUAGACCUUCCAAAUUAGAAUACUCUCUUAUGGGAACCCAGAAAACUAAACCAAGAAGUGUCUCAACUAGGAUAAGCACAAAAAGAGAUUACGUCAGGUGACAAACGUGGGCUGACAUCAUUCUUCAUAAUGAGGCCAACGCAAAAAGAAGGCAUGUAGUUCUUCCCAGCGAAUGCGAAGAUUAGACCGUGUGCAGGAGAGAAGGUUGAGUUUAUCCAGUCUGUUUUCAUGCUGAGCACUGCGCACCCUGCUCCAGAGCCCUUGAGCACUCUACAGACGGCACUGCUGAACUGGAUCCGAUAAUAGAUGCUGGCCCAUGGGGUCAACUUGAGAAACCAGCAGCAGCUUAUGAAAUACGUGGAUUCCUCUAUGGCAGUGACUGUCUCGAUUACUUAGUUGCAGUAAUGGUAAGUAAUAUAAUUAUUCACUUAAAAAUAAAGAAAUGUUUUCCAGAGGAUUUUAUACACCAAUGUAUUCAAUUAUAGCUACUCACAUUGGUUACUUCAUUACUGCAGGCAAGAUGCCAGGAAGAAGCCAAUAGAUGUACAGCCAUGAAAGGGCCUGUGGUCUCUUCUGGUCAGUCAGGUCAUUUAAAAAUUUUCUAUGUAUUCAUCAGAAAUGUGUUCAUGUGUUCAAAUGACAUUGUCAUUACUUGAGACAAUCAACACAAGAAUUAUUCAGAUAUCUAUCAGCAAUAA